AUCUAUUACCUUGCAAGUUAGACAUUCUAACUUUGCUGAUUCGGACUUGAGGAUGAUGUUGUGAGAAGCACAUGCGUCUGACCUUUAGGAGUCGUCCACACGAGCCCACGAAUCAUGAUCAGAAGUCCUGGUCCAGAAAAUCAGCACAGUAUGCUAGUACUGCACUGAUCCUUCUUCGAUGGUUGGUCAGAUACCUCAUUCUUCUUGAUUUAGAAUCUUUCAAAGAUGAGAAGUAGGAGAAGGAGUUUUAGAUGAGACACUCUCAGAAAACUUACAG
rnacentral:lncRNA from 1 species